AGUGAACGCUGGCGGUAGGCCUAACACAUGCAAGUCGAACGGCAGCACAGUAAGAGCUUGCUCUUACGGGUGGCGCGUGGCGGACGGGUGAGGAAUACAUCGGAAUCUACUUUUUCGUGGGGGAUAACGUAGGGACACUUACGCUAAUACCGCAUACGACCUACGGGUGAAAGCAGGGGAUCUUCGUACCUUGCGCGAUUGAAUGAGCCGAUGUCGGAUUAGCUAGUUGGCGGGGUAAAGGCCCACCAAGGCGGCGAUCCGUAGCUGGUCUGAGAGGAUGAUCAGCCACACUGGAACGGAGAAACGGUCCAGACGCCUAGGGGAGGCAGCAGUGGGGAAUAUUGGACAAUGGGCGCAAGCCUGAUCCAGCCAUACCGCGGGGGUGAAGAAGGCCUUCGGGUUGUAAAGCCCUUUUGUUGGGAAAGAAAAGCAGCAGGUUAAUACCCCGCUGUUCUGACGGUACCCAAAGAAUAAGCACCGGCUGACUUCGU
rnacentral:rRNA from 1 species